rnacentral:tRNA from 1 species
UCGCUUGCAGUUCAAUGGUAGAACAACCGGCUGUUAACCGGCAGGUUUCAGGUUCGAGUUCUAGCGAGGGGG